rnacentral:rRNA from 1 species
UAGGAUUAAAAUGCAACUAAGCUGUCAUAAGCUCAAGGUGUACUUAAGAUCACCCUUAAAAUGAUCCUAGCACUUCUGAUUGAUUUAACCCCACGAAAGCUAGGGCACAAACUGGGAUUAGAUACCCCACUAUGCCUAGCCCUAAAUCUCGAUGCUUGCCGUACCAAAGCAUCCGCCCGAGAACUACGAGCACAAACGCUUAAAACUCUAAGGACUUGGCGGUGCCCCAAACCCACCUAGAGGAGCCUGUUCUAUAAUCGAUAAUCCACGAUUCACCCAACCACCUCUCGCCAAAGCAGCCUACAUACCGCCGUCGCCAGCUCACCUUCCCUGAAAGUCCAGUAGUGAGCGCAAUAGCCUAAACCUGCUAGUAAGACAGGUCAAGGUAUAGCCUAUGGGGUGGGAGAAAUGGGCUACAUUUUCUACGAUAGAAGACCCACGGAAGGAGGCAUGAAAUCAGCCCCCGGAAGGCGGAUUUAGCAGUAAAGGGAGACAAUAAAGCCCCCUUUAAGUUGGCCCUGGGGCACGUACAUACCGCCCGUCACCCUCC